CUACAUUCACCCUGUAGAUCCGAAUUUGUCAGAAAAUUGAUUUGCCACGAAUUCGGCUCUAGAGAGGUUUGUGUG
rnacentral:pre_miRNA from 2 species